UCGACCUUCCCGAAGGAAUUCAUUCAUAGCCAUCUGAGGGCCUUUGAAAUCAUUAUAUCUUUUUCUUAAACCAUACAUAUACAUAGAAUAAAAUCUCAUACUUCAUAAUCAUUCUAUUUUCAUAAGACAUAUUCAUGAAAUCAAUGCUCAUAAUAAAACAUGCUUUUUCAUAUCACAUAUGCCAAUCUUUAUUUUAUGAAAAAUUAUGAUUUCAUCA
rnacentral:lncRNA from 1 species